rnacentral:rRNA from 1 species
UGGGGAAUAUUGGACAAUGGACCAAAAGUCUGAUCCAGCAAUUCUGUGUGUUUGAUGAAGGCCUUCGGGUUGUAAAGAACUUUCAACGGGGAAGAAGCAAGUGACGGUACCCGUAGAAGAAGCGACGGCUAAAUACGUGCCAGCAGCCGCGGUAAUACGUAUGUCGCAAGCGUUAUCCGGAAUUAUUGGGCAUAAAGGGCGUCUAGGCGGUUUAAUAAGUCUGAUGUUAAAAUGCGGGGCUCAACUCCGUAUUGCGUUGGAAACUGUUAGACUAGAGUUUUGGAGAGGUAGGCGGAACUACAAGUGUAGAGGUGAAAUUCGUAGAGAUUUGUAGGAAUGCCGAUGACGAAGGUAGCUUACUGGACAAAUACUGACGCUGAAGCGCGAAAGCUAGGGGAGCAAACAGGAUUAGAUACCCUCGUAGUC